rnacentral:rRNA from 1 species
GACGAACGCUGGCGGCGUGCUUAACACAUGCAAGUCGAACGAUGAAGCACCAGCUUUCUGGUGUGGAUUAGUGGCGAACGGGUGAGUAACACGUGAGUAACCUGCCCCUCACUCUGUGAUAAGCCUGGGAAACUGGGUCUAAUACUGGAUACGAUCGAUCUCCGCAUGGAGUGUUGUUGGAAAGGUUUGGUGGUGGGGGAUGGAUUCGAGGCCUAUCAGCUUGUUGGUGGGGUAAUGGCGUACCAAGGCGACGACGGGUAGCCGGCCUGAGAGGGCGACCGGCCACACUGGGACUGAGACACGGCCCAGACUCCUACGGGAGGCAGCAGUGGGGAAUAUUGCACAAUGGGCGAAAGCCUGAUGCAGCGACGCCGCGUGAGGGAUGACGGCCUUCGGGUUGUAAACCUCUUUCACCAGGGACGAAGCUAACGUGACGGUACCUGGAGAAGAAGCACCGGCUAACUACGUG